rnacentral:tRNA from 1 species
GCCCAGUUAGCAAAUCUGGUGAUUGCACGCGCCUGAAGAGCGCAGGAGGCCAGUUCAAAUCUGGCGCUGGGCA